rnacentral:tRNA from 1 species
GCCUGGGUGGCUCAGUCGGUUAAGCAUCUGACUCUUGAUCUUGGCUCAGGUCAUGAUCUCCUGGUUCGUGAGCUCAAAUCUCACAUCAGGCU